CGCACAUUGCGCCCCUUGGUAUUCCGGGGGGCAUGCCUGUUCGAGCGUCAUUACAACCCUCAAGCCUCGCUUGGUAUUGGGCUUCGCCACUAACCUGGCGGGCCUUAAAAUCAGUGGCGGUGCCUCCGAGGCCCUGAGCGCAGUAAAUAUCCUCGCUAUAGGGACCCGGUGGUUACUGGCCAGCAACCCCAACUUUCUAAGUUUGACCUCGGAUCAGGUAGGGAUACCCGCUGAACUUAA
rnacentral:misc_RNA from 1 species